UACGUAGGGGGCUAGCGUUGUCCGGAAUCAUUGGGCGUAAAGAGCGUGUAGGCGGUCCGGUAAGUCCGCUGUGAAAGUCGGGGGCUCAACCCUCGAAUGCCGGUGGAUACUGUCGGGCUAGAGUGCGGAAGAGGCGAGUGGAAUUCCUGGUGUAGCGGUGGAAUGCGCAGAUAUCAGGAGGAACACCUAUUGCGAAGGCAGCUCGCUGGGACGUAACUGACGCUGAGGCACGAAAGCGUGGGGAGCAAACAGG
rnacentral:rRNA from 1 species